UACGAAGGGGGCUAGCGUUGCUCGGAAUCACUGGGCGUAAAGGGUGCGUAGACGGGUUUUUAAGUCAGAGGUGAAAUCCUGGAGCUCAACUCCAGAACUGCCUUUGAUACUGAAAGUCUUGAGUAUGGGAGAGGUGAGUGGAACUGCGAGUGUAGAGGUGAAAUUCGUAGAUAUUCGCAAGAACACCAGUGGCGAAGGCGGCUCACUGGCCCAUUACUGACGCUGAGGCACGAAAGCGUGGGGAGCAAACAGG
rnacentral:rRNA from 1 species